rnacentral:rRNA from 1 species
UGGGGAAUAUUGGACAAUGGGCGAAAGCCUGAUCCAGCCAUGCCGCGUGUGUGAAGAAGGUCUUCGGAUUGUAAAGCACUUUAAGUUGGGAGGAAGGGCAGUAAGCGAAUACCUUGCUGUUUUGACGUUACCGACAGAAUAAGCACCGGCUAACUCUGUGCCAGCAGCCGCGGUAAUACAGAGGGUGCGAGCGUUAAUCGGAAUUACUGGGCGUAAAGCGCGCGUAGGUGGUUCGUUAAGUUGAAUGUGAAAGCCCCGGGCUCAACCUGGGAACUGCAUCCAAAACUGGCGGGCUAGAGUAGGGCAGAGGGUGGUGGAAUUUCCUGUGUAGCGGUGAAAUGCGUAGAUAUAGGAAGGAACACCAGUGGCGAAGGCGACCACCUGGGCUCAUACUGACACUGAGGUGCGAAAGCGUGGGGAGCAAACAGG